GUGGGGAAUAUUGGACAAUGGGCGAAAGCCUGAUCCAGCAAUGCCGCGUGCAGGAAGAAGGCCUUCGGGUUGUAAACUGCUUUUGUACGGAACGAAACGGUCCGGGUUAAUACCCUGGGCUAAUGACGGUACCGUAAGAAUAAGCACCGGCUAACUACGUGCCAGCAGCCGCGGUAAUACGUAGGGUGCAAGCGUUAAUCGGAAUUACUGGGCGUAAAGCGCGCGUAGGUGGUUUUGUAAGUUGGAGGUGAAAUCCCCGGGUUCAACCUGGGAACUGCAUUUGUGACUGCAAGGCUAGAGUACGGCAGAGGGGGAGGGAAUUCCUCGUGUAGCAGUGAAAUGCGUAGAUAUGCGGAGGAACACCAAUGGCGAAGGCAAUCCCCUGGGCCUGUACUGACGCUCAUGCACGAAAGCGUGGGGAGCAAACAGGAUUAGAAACCCGGGUAGUCC
rnacentral:rRNA from 1 species